rnacentral:lncRNA from 1 species
AAAGAAAUAAGCGCUGGAUGACAUGUGGCAGAUUUUCCAACUCUCCAGGAAAAACUUCAGAUCAACUUGUUUCUCUGGAAACUACUCACAUCCGGGGGCUGUCCCUGUCCCCUGGGACUCAUAAACGUUCCUAUCUUCAAGGCACAGAGAUUUGUGGAACUUCGAACUUGAGAGAGAUGAUUUACAGUACCUGGUGGAAGAAAUUUCAAAGCAGCAAAGCUUUCAAGAGGUGACUUGGGUGCUGUUAAAGUCAUUCAGUUUUAAAGGAAAACAGAGCAUAAAAGUUUGGAAAAUUUGCAGCCUGACAAUGAGAUAGAAGAGAAAAUUCCAUUUUCUGAGGAGAAAUUCAAGCCAGCUGCAGAAAUUUGCAAAAGUAAUGAGGAGCUGAAUGUUAAUCACCAAGACAAUAGGGAAAAUGUCUCCAGCGUGUGUCAGAGACCUUUGUGACAACCCCUCCCUUCACAGGCCAGGAGGUUUAGGAGGAAUAAACGUCUUAAAUAUUGGGUCAGGCCCAUGGUCCCUCCACUGUGUGCAGACUAGAGACUUGGUGCCCUGAAUCCUAGCCACUCUAGUCAUGAAUAAAAGGGGCCAAAGUACAGCUUGGGCUAUUGCUUCAGAGGGUGCAAGCCCCAAGUCUUGGUAGGUUCCACAUGGUGUUGAGCCUUCGGGUGCACAAAAGUCAAGAACUGAGGUUUGGUUACCUCUGCCUAGAUUUUGGAUGAUGCAUGGAAACGCCUGGAUGCCCAGGCAGAAGUUUGCUGCAGGGGCAGAGCCCUCAUGGGGAACUUCUGGUAAGGCAAUGAGGAAGGGAAAUGUGGGAUCAGAGCCACCACACAGAGUCCCUAAUGGGCACCACCUAGUGGAGCUGUGAGAAGAGGGCUACCGUCCUCCAAACCCAGACCCCAGAAUGGUAGAUCCAUCGGCAGCUUGCACCGUGCACCUGGAACAGCCAUCAACACUCAAUGCCAGCCUGUGAAAGCAGCUGGGAGGGAGGCUGUACCCUGCAAUGCCACAGGGGCAGAACUGCACAAGACCAUGGGAACCCAUCUCUUGCAUUAGCGUGACCUAGAUGUGAGACAUGGAAUCAAAGGAGAUCAUUUGGAGCUCCAAGAUUUGACUGCUGGAUUUUGGACUUGCAUGGGGCCUGUGGCCCUCUGUUUUGGCCAAUUUCUCCCAUUUGGAAUGGCUGUAUUUACCCAAUGCCUGUACCCCCAUUGUAUCUAGGAAGUAACUAACUUGCUUUCGAUUUUACAGGCUCAUAGGUGGAAGGGAAUUACCUUAUCUCAGAUGAGACUUUGGACUGUGGACUUUUGAGUUAAUGCUGUAAUGAGUUAAGACUUUGGGGGACUAUUGGGAAAGCAUGAUUGGUUUUGAAAUGUGAAAACAUGAGAUUUGGGAGGAGCCAGAGGCAGAAUGAUAUGACUUGGCUCUGUGUCCCCACCCAAAUCUCAUCUUGUAGCUCCCCUGCUUCCCAUGUGUUGUGGGAGGGACCCAGUGGGAGAUGAUUGAAUCAUUGGGGCUGGUCUUUUUCUGUGCUGUUCUUGUGGUGGUGAAUGCAUCUCAUGAGAUUUGAUGGUUUUGAAAAUGGGAGUUCUCUUCACAAGCUCUUUUUUUGCCUGCUGCCAUCCAUGUAAGACGUGACUUGUUCCUCCUUGCCUUCCACCGUGAUUGUGAGACCUCCCCAGCCACGUGGAACUGUGAGUCCAAUUAAACCUUUUUACUUUGUAAAUUGUCCAGUCUCGAGUAUGUCUUUAUCAGCAGUGUGAAAAUGAACUACCAUAAUAUGCAAACACACAAUUCAUGUUAUGCUCAGAUUCUUCCAUAGUCUAUCAAUAUCACUGACACAAAUUUAUGUUUCCAAAACAAGACUUAGAGCAGGACUGGCUGUGUAUCUAUUAGUGGCUAUUCAUGGGCAGGGCAAGUCAUGAACCACUGUACUUGUUCCAAGUCACCUAGCUGGUCAUUGGCAAAGCCAGGGCUGCAACCUAGCUCUCUAGAUGAAGAGCUGAACUAUCUUACCAGGCCACUAUGCUAUCAUAUCUGUUUGUGAAUACAAGGGAUAAAGUGCAGAACAUGGAAGUGCUUUGAAAGGUAUAAAGUGAUCAAUGUUAUAUGCAACUAGAAAGGCUAUGAGUCUUUUAUUUUGUUCUCUAUGACAAGAGAACAAUAUUUCCACUCUGUUUCUUGUUAUAAAUAACUUUGCCUAAUCCUCUAGAAAAGCAAGUAAGCAGAAACAAGUUAACUAAACCUUAGGUCAAGAGGGAAAUGGGAAGAACUAGCAAAAGGAGAUAAUAACUCUCAGGGAUGGAAGCACCUAGCCAAUUGGAAGGGUGUGAAAAAGCGUGGAAAUAGAAAAUGGGACUGACAAAAUGUACCUUUUCUCUUACAAAUUAACUUGUGUCUUUGUGACGACAGCAUGUUUGGGUCAAGAGUUCUUGACUUUUGAAAUAUAUCAAAAUUCUUAAGGAGAAAGUUUUAUAAAAAUAGAGGUG